rnacentral:lncRNA from 1 species
UGGUUCGGUUGAACCCCGUCGAUCUCUAUCCCUCUCUUACUCUCUAUCGUGUUCCUCUUCACUACCACUUCUAAUUCUAGAAGCUUCCUCUACUUCUUCCAUCUCAAUUCCUCUUCUAUUUUUCUGAGAUUGUAUUUGAAUUUGAUUGUUCUUGAGAUUACUGAGUUGGAAGAAGAGGCUGUUAACAAUCUGGUAUCAGAGCCGUUCGGUUCACUGGGAUUUUUAUCAUGGAGGUGUUGGGGAGGCAGCAUGAGCCAUGCAAGAUGGAGCAAGAAUUGAGUUGGGAAGGUUUUCAUCCAAGCAUCGCCCACCAACUGCUCGAUGGAAUGCCAAGCCAACCUGGGAUGUCCAAGGAAGAUCAGAGGAUAUCUGAGCCCGUUCUCAUCAAUACCACCAUGAAUAAAGAGGAGAAAUGGCUAGAUGAAGCUUUGGAUCGGAUAUUGGAGAAGUUUGAACAAAUGGAGGCCAAGCGCCGGCAAGAGGACAAGCUCAAUCAAAAUUUUCAGAAGUUGGAGGAGAUAGAGGCUCGUAGGAGCAAGGCUUCCGAGGAGACGAUUGCUGCCAUCAGGGCAACCACCGCCAUUCUCAAGGCUGCAUCAUCUUCGACACCUAUGGCACCACCUCCUCCAGCGCCCACCAACUGUUUGAUGGAAUGCCACAACAACAACUUCACUUGGGUGGCAGUGAAUUCAAGUCACAUCCGCGAGGUACCUGCCCCGAUGGUUGCCUUCGAGCUUGGGGACGUCGAGGACAAGGAUCCUGUCCCCUACAUUGCCGCCAAGGACCUUCCCAAGGUCACGCCCACCAAGUGUUCGACGAUAUGUUCCAGCUCCGACACCAAGCCCGAUCACAUUGUGGCUACUGUGGUUACUUGCGCCACCCUUGUCGUGUCAUCAAUGGAGUUGGUAGCUAUUGACGGCACCACUGGCAACACCAACAUUGACACCCCUGAUAGUACCAAGGCGAUGCCCGCCAACUGUUCGACAGUUGGCCUUGAUGUCAAGGGUGGUGCAGACCACGCCAGGGUCACAUGCCAGAUCAUGAUGGGUGUUCCUGAGGCCUAUGGCUGGUCCAGAAUUCAAACUCAAUUGGUCAAGGGUACAUCAUUUGCCACCUUGGCCGCCACCUACCGAAUAUCUAGCCUGCAGGAGCAUAUUAAUGGGCAAGAACAAAUCUUAUGCAAACCUUGGAAUCCAAGAGACAACAGGACCUCAAUUGACAUAAUUCUGUUGAAUAGUUGGUCUCUAGUGCACUGCUAUCAUCUGGGGCAUAUUGUUGGCCUUACAUGUCUUGAAGCUUUGGCCAUUCUACUUUGCCAUGAGAUGGUUAAGUUUGGGUGGGCUGGUACUGUGUACAGUGACCAAGACAGGCAUACAAUUGUCAGGCCAGCAAGAGCAUUUGUCAGGCAUGAGCUUGGCAUCGGGAAUGGUUCACAUAUACUACAUGUUUCAGAGGCUGGAGCAAGAUGUGGGUCCAUGAGGAAAUUGCUUGAACUGAUAAGGAAUGAGAGGACUUUCCAAAUUAAAAUUAUGGUGAAGAACUUAUUGCAAGAGCUUCUACUCAAGUACUUGAUGCACAUGCACUGA